GACGAACGCUGGCGGCGUGCCUAAUACAUGCAAGUCGAACGCACUCUCGUUUAGAUUGAAGGAGCUUGCUCCUGAUUGAUAAACAUUUGAGUGAGUGGCGGACGGGUGAGUAACACGUGGGUAACCUGCCCUAAAGUGGGGGAUAACAUUUGGAAACAGAUGCUAAUACCGCAUAAAACCUAACACCGCAUGGUGUAGGGUUGAAAGAUGGUUUCGGCUAUCACUUUAGGAUGGACCCGCGGUGCAUUAGUUAGUUGGUGAGGUAAAGGCUCACCAAGACCGUGAUGCAUAGCCGACCUGAGAGGGUAAUCGGCCACACUGGGACUGAGACACGGCCCAGACUCCUACGGGAGGCAGCAGUAGGGAAUCUUCCACAAUGGACGAAAGUCUGAUGGAGCAACGCCGCGUGAGUGAAGAAGUUUUCGGAUCGUAAAACUCUAGUUGUUGGUAGAAGAAUGUAUCUGAUAGUAACUGAUCAGGUAGUGACGGUAUCCAACCAGAAAGCCAACGG
rnacentral:rRNA from 1 species